rfam:Myotis lucifugus cont2.7766, whole genome shotgun sequence.
CCUUCAUAAUGACUGUGCCUGUCAGUUGCAUGGAGCUUCAUUCAAGGAUUUUCUGAGCCUGAUCUAUGGUGAUAAUUCAGCUGCCUGGGGAA